CCCUUAGAUGUUCUGGGCCGCACGCGCGCUACACUGAACAGUUCAACAAGUCUUAACCUUGGCCGAUAGGUCUGGGUAAUCUUUGAACGCUGUUCGUGAUUGGGAUAGACCUUUGCAAUUAUGGGUCUUCAACGAGGAAUUCCUAGUAAACGCAAGUCAUCAGCUUGCAUUGAUUACGUCCCUGCCCUUUGUACACACCGCCCGUCGCACCUACCGAUUGAAUGGUCCGGUGAAUCUUUAGGACUGUGACUGAGGCCUUGCCUUGUGCGGGUCUGGCCGUGGGAAUUUAGUUAAACCUUNCNAUUUAUNGGAAGGUGAANUCGUANCA
rnacentral:rRNA from 1 species